UACGUAGGGUGCGAGCGUUAAUCGGAAUUACUGGGCGUAAAGGGUGCGCAGGCGGUUAUAUAAGGCAGAUGGGAAAUCCCCGGGCUCAACCUGGGAACUGCGUUUGUGACUGUAUGACUAGAGUACGGUAGAGAGGGGUGGAAUUCCUGGUGUAGCAGUGAAAUGCGUAGAUAUCAGGAGGAAUACCGGUGGCGAAGGCGGCAUCCUGGACCGAUAUUGACACUGAUGAGCGAAAGCCAGGGGAGCAAACGGG
rnacentral:rRNA from 1 species